rnacentral:rRNA from 1 species
AUUGAACGCUGGCGGAAUGCUUUACACAUGCAAGUCGAACGGCAGCACGGACUUCGGUCUGGUGGCGAGUGGCGAACGGGUGAGUAAUACAUCGGAACGUGCCCAGUCGUGGGGGAUAACGUAGCGAAAGCUACGCUAAUACCGCAUACGAUCUAAGGAUGAAAGCGGGGGAUCGCAAGACCUCGCGCGGUUGGAGCGGCCGAUGGCAGAUUAGGUAGUUGGUAGGGUAAAGGCCUACCAAGCCGACGAUCUGUAGCUGGUCUGAGAGGAUGCUCAGCAACACUGGGACUGAGACACGGCCCAGACUCCUACGGGAGGCAGCAGUGGGGAAUUUUGGACAAUGGGCGCAAGCCUGAUCCAGCCAUUCCGCGUGCAGGAUGAAGGCCUUCGGGUUGUAAACUGCUUUUGUACAGAACGAAAAGGCUCUGGUUAAUACCCGGGGCUCAUGACGGUACUGUAAGAAUAAGCACCGGCUAACUACGUGCCAGCAGCCGCAGUAA